UGCUAGCGUUGUUCGGAAUUACUGGGCGUAAAGGGCGCGUAGGCGGCACCGCAAGUCGACUGUGAAAUCUCCGGGCUUAACCCGGAAAGGUCAGCCGAUACUGCGGGGCUAGAGUGCAGAAGGGGCAACUGGAAUUCUCGGUGUAGCGGUGAAAUGCGUAGAUAUCGAGAGGAACACCUGCGGCGAAGGCGGGUUGCUGGGCUGACACUGACGCUGAAGCGCGAAAGCUAGGGGGAGCGAACGGG
rnacentral:rRNA from 1 species